GGAGGGGUGGCAGAGUGGUCGAAUGCGGCGGUCUCGAAAACCGUUAGGGGUGUAUGCCCCUCGAAGGUUCGAAUCCUUUCCCCUCCGCCA
rnacentral:tRNA from 1 species